CAUAGCUUAACUUCUAACUUUAUAAAUAGACUUUGAAGAAAUUCUACAAAGAUGCUAUAAUUUCCUGACUUAAGUUAAUUUUAAAGGUUAACAUGUUGUUAUUCUAUUUCAAUGGAGGUGAAAAUGAGUUUGGGACCAUGGCAAUUAUUUCUAAUCCUUAUGAUAAUUUUAGUUCUUUUUGGUGCAGGUAGAUUGCCACAAGUAAUGGGUGACCUAGGAAAAGGCAUCAAAAAUCUCAAGCAAGAACUUAAGGAUUCAGAAAAAUCAUCAUCUCACGAGCCAGAUCGUUAGCUUAUCUUUUUUUUAUUUUGUAACACGUACUCUAAGUACGUGUUACUUAUUUCCGCUUAUAACUAAAUAAAAUUCAAACAAUGAAGUAGGAUUUCUCGUUAACAAAAUGAAAUAUUAAAGUUGCAGUAUAAUAGUAAUUAUGUUAAAAGUUGCUUUUCUAACAAUUUCCUGUGCCAAAAAAUAAAAAUUU